rnacentral:rRNA from 1 species
AACGAACGCUGGCGGCAUGCCUAACACAUGCAAGUCGAACGAGACCUUCGGGUCUAGUUGCGCACGGGUGCGUAACGCGUGGGAACCUGCCCUUAGGUUCGGAAUAACUCCCCGAAAGGGGUGCUAAUACCGGAUAAUGUCUUCGGACCAAAGAUUUAUCGCCUUUGGAUGGGCCCGCGUUGGAUUAGCUAGUUGGUAGGGUAAAAGACUACCAAGGCGACGAUCCAUAGCUGAUCUGAGAGGAUGAUCAGCCACACUGGGACUGAGACACGGCCCAGACUCCUACGAGAGGCAGCAGUGUGGAAUAUUGGACAAUGGGCGAAAGCCUGAUCCAGCAAUGCCGCGUGAGUGAUGAAGGCCUUAGGGUUGUAGCUCUUUUACCCGGGAUGAUAAUGACAGUACCGGGAGAAUAAGCUCCGGCUAACUCCGUG